AACGUAGGGGGCGAGCGUUAUCCGGAAUCACUGGGCGUAAAGGGCGUCUAGGCGGCACGUCAAGUCUUGCGUGAAAGCUCCUGGCUCAACUAGGAGAGUGCGUGGGAAACUGGCGAGCUAGAGACGUGGAGGGGUGCACGGAAUUCCCGGUGGAGUGGUGGAAUGCGUUGAGAUCGGGAGGAACACCAGAAGCGAAGGCGGUGCACUGGCCACGGACUGACGCUGAAGCGCGACAGCGUGGGGAGCGAACGGG
rnacentral:rRNA from 1 species